UACGUAGGCAGCAAGCGUUGUUCGGAGUUACUGGGCGUAAAGGGUGUGUAGGCGGUUCUUUAAGUUUGGUGUGAAAUCUCCCGGCUCAACCGGGAGGGUGCGCCGAAUACUGAGGGACUAGAGUGCGGGAGAGGAAAGUGGAAUUCCUGGUGUAGCGGUGAAAUGCGUAGAUAUCAGGAGGAACACCGGUGGUGUAGACGGCUUACUGGGCUGAUACUGACGCUGAGGCGCGAAAGCCAGGGGAGCAAACGGG
rnacentral:rRNA from 1 species